CGCUGGCGGCGCGUUUAAGCAUGCAAAUCGAGCGGCAAGGGCCUUCGGGCCCCUAGAGCGGCGGACGGGUGAGUAACACGUGGACAAUCUGCCCCCCGGCCCGGGAUAGCCCAGGGAAACCUGGAUUAAUACCGGAUGAGACGGGACCCGCGAUGGCGGGACCCGGGAAAGGCGCUGCGGCGCCGCCGGGGGAUGAGUCUGCGUCCCAUUAGCUAGACGGCGGGGUAACGGCCCACCGUGGCGACGAUGGGUAGCCGGCCUGAGAGGGUGGACGGCCACAUUGGAACUGAGACACGGUCCAGACUCCUACGGGAGGCAGCAGCUAAGAAUCUUCCGCAAUGGGCGAAAGCCUGACGGAGCGACGCCCGCGUGAACGAAGAAGGCCGUGAGGUUGUAAAGUUCUUUUCGGGAGGGGGAACAACCGUGGCAGGGAAUGGCCGCGGGAUGACGUGAAUCCCGGAAUAAGCCCCGGCUAACUACGUGCCAGCAGCCGC
rnacentral:rRNA from 1 species